rnacentral:rRNA from 1 species
CAGUCGAACGGCAGCACGGGGGCAACCCUGGUGGCGAGUGGCGAACGGGUGAGUAAUGCAUCGGAACGUGCCCAGUCGUGGGGGAUAACGUAGCGAAAGCUACGCUAAUACCGCAUACGAUCUAUGGAUGAAAGCGGGGGACCUUCGGGCCUCGCGCGAUUGGAGCGGCCGAUGUCAGAUUAGGUAGUUGGUGGGGUAAAGGCCUACCAAGCCGACGAUCUGUAGCUGGUCUGAGAGGACGACCAGCCACACUGGGACUGAGACACGGCCCAGACUCCUACGGGAGGCAGCAGUGGGGAAUAUUGGACAAUGGGGGCAACCCUGAUCCAGCGACGCCGCGUGUGUGAAGAAGGCCUGCGGGUUGUAAAGCACUUUUAGUGGGGAUGAAAAGCUCGGGGCUAAUACCUCCGGGUCUUGACCUAACCCACAGAAAAAGCAC